GCUUGUCUCAAAGAUUAAGCCAUGCAUGUCUAAGUAUAAACAAAUCUAUACUGUGAAACUGCGAAUGGCUCAUUAUAUCAGUUAUAGUUUAUUUGAUGGUUCUUGCUACUUGGAUAACCGUAGUAAUUCUAGAGCUAAUACAUGCAUCAAACCCCGACUCACGAAGGGGUGUAUUUAUUAGAUGGAAACCAAUGCGGGGCAACCCGGAUUAUGGUGAUUCAUAAUAACUAUUCGAAGCGUAUGCCCUUGUGGUGACGCUAGUUCAUUCAAAUUUCUGCCCUAUCAGCUUUCGAUGGUAGUGUAGUGGACUACCAUGGCUUUAACGGGUGACGAGGAAUUAGGGUUUGAUUUCGGAGAGGGAGCCUGAGAAAUGGCUACCACAUCCAAGGAAGGCAGCAGG
rnacentral:rRNA from 1 species